rnacentral:rRNA from 1 species
CAUCUAGGCGGCUUAUUAAGUCAGAAGUGAAAUACCGGGGCUCAACCCCGGGACUGCUUUUGAAACUGAUUCGCUAGAAUACGGGAUAGGAGGGCGGAACUACAAGUGUAGAGGUGAAAUUCGUAGAUAUUUGUAGGAAUGCCGAUGACGAAGGUAGCUCUCUGGACCGACAUUGACGCUGAAGUGCGAAAGCUAGGGUAGCAAACAG